rnacentral:misc_RNA from 1 species
AGCAGCAGCAACAACAACAACAACAACAACAUUAAAGCCUUAAUCCACCCAACCACCCAAUAUUUGAUAAUAUACAUGUCCUACUAUGUUACAGAUGCAUCAGUUCAUUGAAAUUGUGGUGUAAUAUCCUUACAGUCAAUUGCAUGGUGAAAUUUUCUAAAUGUGCCUUGUGGAUUUACUAUUUGUGAAUUCAGUUAUUGGUUUAAUCUGCAUUCAAUCUCUCUUUUCCACUAGAUAAUUGUUGAAGAGUUAGUUGCCGCAUGCGCCUAUUAAAUGCCCUUGCAAUGGAAAGUUAGGAAACAAUAAAGAAUUAUGUCAAAUCUUAUUUAAGUUGGUUCUUACUCUUCCUCUGCUUGUUUUUCUUAUCUAAUAGUAAAUAUAAAAGGCACUUCAAAUUGCUCAUUUCUAUCAUUACAUGCCUUCAUGCUGCCUGUGGUUGAUCAUCUAUUGUUUAGAGACAUGUUAUGGAUCUUAUUAUAAUUGAUGCAGCAUU